GUGGAUAUAGUUUAAAUAAGACAUUAGAUUGUGAUUCUAAAAAUAGGGGUUAAAGCCCCCUUAUCUACC
rnacentral:tRNA from 2 species